GCACCAGUGGGGAAUAUUGGGCAAUGGAGGAAACUCUGACCCAGCGACGCCGCGUGCGGGAUGAAGGCCUUCGGGUUGUAAACCGCUUUCAGUAGGGAAGAAGCGAAAGUGACGGUACCUACAAAAGAAGCACCGGCUAACUAUGUGCCAGCAGCCGCGGUAAUACAUAGGGUGCAAGCGUUGUCCGGAAUUAUUGGGCGUAAAGAGCUCGUAGGUCGUUUGUUACGUCGGAUGUGAAAACCUGAGGCUCAACCUCAGGCCUGCAUUCGAUACGGGCAAACUAGAGUUUGGUAGGGGAGACUGGAAUUCCUGGUGUAGCGGUGGAAUGCGCAGAUAUCAGGAGGAACACCAAUGGCGAAGGCAGGUCUCUGGGCCAAUACUGACACUGAGGAGCGAAAGUCUGGGGAGCGAACAGGAUUA
rnacentral:rRNA from 1 species